UGCAGCUCGAGCGGAAAAUGGAAGCUUGCUCCCAAGAUGUUAGCGGCGGACGGGUGAGUAACACGUGGGUAACCUGCCUGUAAGACUGGGAUAACUCCGGGAAACCGGGGCUAAUACCGGAUGGUUGUUUGAACCGCAUGGUUCAAACAUAAAAGGUGGCUUCGGCUACCACUUACAGAUGGACCCGCGGCGCAUUAGCUAGUUGGUGAGGUAACGGCUCACCAAGGCAACGAUGCGUAGCCGACCUGAGAGGGUGAUCGGCCACACUGGGACUGAGACACGGCCCAGACUCCUACGGGAGGCAGCAGUAGGGAAUCUUCCGCAAUGGACGAAAGUCUGACGGAGCAACGCCGCGUGAGUGAUGAAGGUUUUCGGAUCGUAAAGCUCUGUUGUUAGGGAAGAACAAGUACCGUUCGAAUAGGGCGGUACCUUGACGGUACCUAACCAGAAAGCCACGGCUAACUACGUGCCAGCAGCCGCGGGAAUACGUAGGUGGCAAGCGUUGUCCGGAAUUAUUGGGCGUAAAGGGCUCGCAGGCGGUUUCUUAAGUCUGAUGUGAAAGCCCCCGGCUCAACCGGGGAGGGUCAUUGGAAACUGGGGAACUUGAGUGCAGAAGAGGAGAGUGGAAUUCCACGUGUAGCGGUGAAAUGCGUAGAGAUGUGGAGGAACACCAGUGGCGAAGGCGACUCUCUGGUCUGUAACUGACGCUGAGGAGCGAAAGCGUGGGGAGCGAACAGGAUUAGAUACCCUGGUAGUCCACGCCGUAAACGAUGAGUGCUAAGUGUUAGGGGGUUUCCGCCCCUUAGUGCUGCAGCUAACGCAUUAAGCACUCCGCCUGGGGAGUACGGUCGCAAGACUGAAACUCAAAGGAAUUGACGGGGGCCCGCACAACCGGUGGAGCAUGUGGUUUAAUUCUAAGCAA
rnacentral:rRNA from 1 species